rnacentral:rRNA from 1 species
CUGACAGAAAUGCUUAACACAUGCAAAGUCGAUGAUGGGGAGCUAGCUUGCUAGAAGAAAGUCAUGGCGGACGGGUGAGUAACGUGUAAAGAACUUACCAUAUAGACUGGGAUAACAGAGGGAAACUUCUGAUAAUACUGGAUAAGUUAGUAGUAGCAUUACUAAGUAAUGAAAAGGUAGCAAUACGCUAUAUGAGAGCUUUUGCAUCCUAUUAGCUAGUUGGUGGGGUAAAAGCCCUACCCAAGGCGAUGAUAGGUAGCCGGCCUGAGAGGGUGGACGGCCACAAGGGGACUGAGAUACGGCCCUUACUCCUACGGGAGGCAGCAGUGGGGAAUAUUGGACAAUGGAGGCAACUCUGAUCCAGCAAUUCUGUGUGUGUGAAGAAGGUUUUAGGACUGUAAAACACUUUUAGUAGGGAAGAAAGAAAUGACGGUACCUACAGAAGAAGCGACGGCUAAAUACGUGCCAGCAGCCGCGGUAAU